GAUGAACGCUAGCGAUAGGCCUAACACAUGCAAGUCGAGGGGCAGCAUAGAGUAGCAAUACUUUGAUGGCGACCGGCGCACGGGUGAGUAACACGUAUGCAACCUACCUACAUCAGGGGAAUAACCCGGAGAAAUUAGGACUAAUACCGCAUAAUACAGGGAUGCCGCAUAGCAAUAUUUGUUAAAGAUUUAUCGGAUGUAGAUGGGCAUGCGUUCCAUUAGCUAGUUGGUGAGGUAACGGCUCACCAAGGCAACGAUGGAUAGGGGAACUGAGAGGUUUGUCCCCCACACUGGGACUGAGACACGGACCAGACUCCUACGGGAGGCAGCAGUGGGGAAUAUUGGUCAAUGGACGAGAGUCUGAACCAGCCAAAUCGCGUGAAGGAAGACUGCCCUACGGGUUGUAAACUUCUUUUGUACAGGAAUAAAAGACAUUACGUGUAAUGUAUUGCAUGUACUGUACGAAUAAGCAUCGGCUAACUCCGUGCCAGCAGCCGCCGUAA
rnacentral:rRNA from 1 species